AUUAGAGGAAGUAAAAGUCGUAACAAGGUUUCCGUAGGUGAACCUGCGGAAGGAUCAUUACAGUAAUGUGAAUGAUAAGGGUUUUUGGCUGCUGGCUUGUUUUUUUCAAGCAUGUGCGCACCCUUUGAUUUUAUAGUCCCAUAUACACACCUGUGCACCCAAGGUUAAUGCUUCCCAUUCGGAGCCGUCUUGAGUUGAUCAAAGGGUUAUCACUCGAGGCUGAAGCGUUCCUUCUUUGACGUUUACACUACUGCCUGUCUAAUGCAUGUUUAAUACUCUAAGGAGUUAAAAAGUUAAUACAACUUUCAACAACGGAUCUCUUGGCUUUUGCAUCGAUGAAGAACGCCGCGAAAGUGCGAAACGUAAUGUGAAUUGCAGAAUUCAGUGAAUCAUCGAAUCUUUGAACGCACCUUGCACUCCUUGGUAUUCCGAGGAGUAUGCCUGUUUGAGUGUCGUGAACCUUCUCAAAUCCUUAUCAUUAAGUUGGUCAAGGGUUUGGACGUGGAUGUAUGCUAUGAUAUUCAGUUAUGAUAGCUCAUCUUAAAUACAUUAGCUGGUGAAUUCUCGCUCAGAGAGGAAUAACAGUGUGAUAAGAAACAUUUUGUAACUGUGUAACACUGUUGAUGCUCACUUGCGGAACACCGCUUCUAAUCGUCUGUCACUAGACACAUCACAUCAUGUCAUUUGACCUCAAAUCAGGUAGGACUACCCGCUGAACUUAAGCAUAUCAAUAA
rnacentral:rRNA from 1 species